rnacentral:rRNA from 1 species
AUGAGCCUGGGCUACCUGAGCAGGCUGUGCGCCAGGAUAGUGCAGGCCGCUGUGCGCGCGGAACAGCCGGCGUCCACGAUGUCUAAGCCAUCACCGGUGGCGCAAGUCCCUCACCGCCGCUCCCGGCUCUCCGGUGGGUUGGCUGAUCAAACUCCCGUGGCGGCGAAGACGGCAGCAGUGACGACGAGGAAAGCGGAGAAGGAUGAGAACGUGAUGCACCUGAUCUGCUGGGGACCCGAUUAG